GUUGCGGAUUUGUUGGAUGGAGUUUUGCUGUUGGAUUUUGGAUUUUUGCUGGCCCUCACCUCGUUCCACUGACUUCAUGGAUCGUUCCAAGAGGUUUUCCCAAGUCUGGAAUAAUUUUGAUCUUUUGAUGCCAAAUAAGGUGAGUUUUCUGCUCUGCUCCACAGAGCUAUCUUAUGUCAAUAAGAGCACUUCAUCAAUGCUGAGGCAUUAUAGAGCUCGGCAUGGCAUCGAAGAAUUGGCAGAGACUCGUGUGAGUACCCGAGUUCCUAACAAGCAAGCAGUGGAUGAGGCUGUGGUCAACAUGAUCAUCAAAGACUGUUAGCCACUCACCAUUGUUGAAAAUGAGGGAUUCAGGGAGUUCCUGAUGCUUAUCAACUCAGACUUAAAUUUUUAUGCUCACCAUCUUCAUCUGUACCCUGUGAAAUAGUUUUUUCUAAGGCAGGGGAACUGGUGUCUAAGAGGAGAAAACGUCUUUGAGUCAAACACACUCAAUAAAAAUGCAUAAAUGAAUAAAUUUCUUUAUUUCGUAUGAUUGAACACUUAAGUUAACAAAAUUCCAGACAUAAGUUAAACAUUUUAACAAUUUUAUUAUAGACAAAUUUGCUAUAUUUUACAUAACUCAUUUGAGCAUUUCCACAAACAAGGUUUUAA